AGGGUACCUUGCGUUCUGAACUGUAAUGGCGAACCCCUUAAGAAAUACGUGAAUGGGGCUUUGACAUGUCGAAUGAAGGGGGUCUAGUUAAAGUAAAACAUGGCGGCCCCCAGUGCGGUACACAUGUGUCGGGCCUGGAUGUAAACAUUGACCUGCCAGAUGCAUUUUCUAUUAAAAGUGAUAUUCUCUCGGAAGACCAACUUGUUGAACAUCAAAAAGGAAUACAAAAUGGCGACAACUUGCAAUUUUUAUCAUCGCCAUCGGACGUAGAUUUAGACAGCUACGAAAGGGCUGUUGUUGAAAACAACACAGAAUGGCUUAAGUCGCGAUGUAGGAAUAUUGAAGCUAUAGAUUUUGAGAUCCCAACGACUGGCAACGAUGGGAUUGAGCUGUUUAGUUCUUCCUUACCGGAUACGACAGAUUUAACACUAUGUGCUGAAGGGUCUGUGCCUUCGUUCGAAACGUCAGGCCUCCUUUUGGGAGGGACGAACGGGUCCCUACUGUCGACUGCCAGCUCUGGGGGAAUAUCUGGGUCAUGUUCCACUAUAUCUUCAAUAUUUUCCCAAUCCCAAACGUCUGAAUGCAGUGCUAACAUUUCUGAAAGAGAUGUCUCUUUAUUUGAAGAUAAAAAUAACAUGUUGAUGACACCCCAGGAACUUGAAAGCAUGCCAGAUAGGGGACUGGAAUUCGAAGCUUCAGUUGGACCAAAAUGUUUAAAUGUGGAUAUCUCUCUUAAGUCCUCAAGUGAUAUUAUUUCAUCUGUUUCAUUAAUAAAACAUAAGACGGCACAAGUUACUAAACUAGCCCAGAACACCAGUACAUCUAAUGAUACAAUCACAGUGACCAACAGUAAACUUAAUUUGGUGCAAGUCCAUCAGCCUCUGAAUAUUCAGUCUGUUGCACACCCCAAUCACAAGGCCGGUACACUGCAGAUCGUGCAAAAUCAGCUUAUUGCUCUUCAGUCCCCAAAAAUUGAAGGUGGUGCUGAUAAGCAUGGCCCAGAAAUCAAAUUGGUUCCGAUGCGAAAUACCACACCUAUUAUUGUCAACACAGGCCAGGGUCAUCAACUUCUGCAUAUCAACUCCAAUCAGCUGCAUGGGAAUGACACCUUGACAAAAUUACUGCCAGUAAAUCAAGCGUCAAAAUCUGUCGAAAACUCCAAAGCUCAACCCAUUCAAACAGGGUUCUUGAUUCUGCCAGCUAAUCCAGGAGGAAGCACCAUUUUGACAGCCAAUUCUGGUGAAGCAGGGGGUCAGACCAUAAUCAAUGUAGACAACUCUGCCACAAAGCCCCCCAUGUUCUUGAAGAACCCUUCAAUGAGCCCCCAUAAGUGGGUGUACAUGUACCUCUGCACUCAUCCAGGAUGUGACAAGAUCUUUCGAAAACUCUCCAAAAUGAGAAUUCAUCUCAUGAGUCACACUGGGGAAAGGCCAUUUAAGUGUAGUAAACCAGGCUGUGAUUGGGCAUUCACAACUUGUUACAAACUGAAAAGACAUGAAGAAUCUCAUCAAGGAAGGAAAGAUUAUCAGUGUGACUAUCCUGACUGUGGAAAAAGAUUUGCCACUUCAUACAACCUGAAAUCUCACAAAAAAUCUCACGAGAAGCCAUGCGAACCUUGCCUAGAGCCAGGCUGUACCAUGAAAUUCCCUAAUCGCAGACAGCUGAAUCUUCACAUGAAAACACAUAAUGGAUCAGAGAAGAAAUACAAGUGCCCAGUGGAUGGUUGUGACAAAACAUUUUUCUCUCCCCAUUGUAUGGGUUCACACCCACGUACCCAUCAACAGGACCGGGACUUUCGGUGCAAUUACGAGGGCUGUAAUAAGGUGUACUCCACAGCCUGUCGUCUGAAGCAGCAUGUCAGAUCUCACACAGGCGAAAAACCAUUUGUCUGUUACUAUGAAAAUUGUGGAUGGGCAUUUACAACGGCCAGUAAAUUGCGGCGUCAUCAGUUCAAGCACACUGGUUUACGGAAGUGGAAAUGUCCAGUUGAGAACUGUGGGAGAGCUUUCAUGAGGUCAGAGCACUUGAAGGGUCACAUGAUUACUCACAGUGGGAAAAAGCCAUUUGCCUGCCCUGUAGAAGGUUGCUCUGCAAAGUUUGUGGCCAAAACAAGUCUUAAAGUUCACAUGAAUCGACAUGAAAAUCAGAAAGUAGAGAAGAUUGCUUAUCACUGUCCAAUAGAAGGGUGCAUGAAGAAGUACUUCCUGAAGUCCAAGCUUCGAGAACACAUGGUUCAGAAACAUCUGAGCAGUAUCUCUAGUAAUGGUCAGGUCACCCAACUGGAUCUGGAACCCUUACUUGGCGGUGAGCUGCAGGACAUCGGGAUGCUGCCCUCACACACAGAGACCAAGACUGUCGUCCAGGCGGUUCAGAUCAAUAAUCCUUGUGUAACCCAAAGUGAAGAACAUUCAUCUCAAGCAACUGAACCAAAGACAACCACAGCAAUGCUGACUAUUCCAGUCUCAGAACAGAUGACUAUUGACCCCUUGGAAUUUAUAACAAAUCCAGAAGAUUCCUCGGGAGAAAUGCCCCAGAUCAGUCAGGCUGUGUUAAAUCAGCUGAUGUCAGGACUAGACAAGCCAGAGGAGACCUCCAAUCCAUCUACAUCCAACACAACCUGUAAAAACCACUAAAGUCAGCAGCUACAUCUGUCUAAAUCUUGGCAGACUUGUUUCAAAGAAGGAGCAAUCAGUUCUUUCAUAUAUGUUGAGCAAGCCUUGCAAGCCCUUUGGUUCUGGAGAACAACAGUGGAUCAGCGCGCACCGAUUACCUUAGUAACCACAACCUGAGUUACCGAGCUCGACAUAGGCGACAGCUGCUAAAGGAGAAAACCUCAAGUGCCUCCACUAGUCCUCAAGUCCCUGACCGGGAAAACUCUGAUGAGGGUUUGCUUAACCAAGCAUCAUCUGCAUUCAUGAUUUCGUCAUCGGAGGCAGCAUCAUUUAGUGGCUCGAUGGAUAGCGGGACUUUUAGUUCUGCUGAUUCACUGUCCUCGCGAGGGAUCACCUUCCGUGACCCAGAAACUGGAGUUAUGUACAUACAAACACAGCUGUUACAGGAUGACCCUCCAAGCACGGUCACUGACCUCUACCAAGAUGAAAAAGUUUUGGGAAGUGAAAUUUCUGAUCUGACAGACAAUUCCUCUAAUAGUCUGGACCAUUCCAUUCAAGAUGCAGAGUUCACAGGAUCCACAAUUAACUUUCAAGACCUGCAGUGAUAUAUGCGAUAGAGACACUGGAUAGAAGAGAUUUGUAUGAUGUUGUUAUGGAUAUAUGUGCUGCUUAGAUCUUAUUGUAAAAUCAUUGUUUUGUUUUUCUUAUAUUUAUUUGCUUCAUGGUGCAAUGUGUAAAAGUAUAGCUGUGAUCUGAGCUUCAUACAAAUUCUUGUGUGCUUAGCUAACACAAAAUGUAAUGCAGUUAUAUGUGAGUAUGAGGCAAAUCGUCUUAAUUCAGUAGCAUUUUCUUUUUUAGCUGAUCAGGGUAAAAUAUGAAUGAAAAUAUUAUCAUUUCAAUUUUUAUUAGGAUUAAAAAUGGAAACAAAAUAAACUUCCCAUAUUUCCUGGCUCCCAUAUAAUAUUCAGUCUUAGGAGAUACUGUUAAUUAUUGCCAUUUUGCCCCUUGAUGUGCAUAAUUCUUGGCAUUUUCCGUCCAUUUAGAAUUCUUGUUCCCUUACAGUAAGUGGAGUUUGGGACCCUGGCUGGUUUAACACAUUUGUAGUCAAUUUUAUAGUGAAGAUGACCGCGAAAUUAAUUCUAAAUUUCUCAAAUGCAGUGCUUGUUGUACUUCAAUAUUUCUAGCAUUAUCAGUUUGUAGGCUACAAAUAUUGUAAGUAUUUGUUGUUUAAAUUAUAGUAAAAUGAAAUGAAAAAACCC
rnacentral:misc_RNA from 1 species